rnacentral:ncRNA from 1 species
GGCCCUGUGGAUUAAAAGGGAAUCGGGUGCAAGUCCCGAACAGUCCCGCUGCUGUGAACCUCCGCCAAUCCUUCCGAACAUCACAUGCCACUGACCCCGCCCGGGGUCGGGAAGGCCUCGGAAGGAGGAGAAAGUCAGAAGACCUGCCAACGAAUUUUU